GUGAACGCUGGCGGCGUGCCUAAUACAUGCAAGUCGAACGGAGAUUAAGUAGCUUGCUAUUUAAUCUUAGUGGCGCACGGGUGAGUAAUAUCUAGCUAACUUGCCCAUUACUAAGGGACAACAGUUGGAAACGACUGCUAAUACCUUAUACUCCGUAUCUAUAUAAGUAGAUACGGGAAAGUUUUUCGGUAAUGGAUAGGGCUAUAUCGUAUCAGCUAGUUGGUAAGGUAAUGGCUUACCAAGGCUAUGACGCGUAACUGGUCUGAGAGGAUGAUCAGUCACACUGGAACUGAGACACGGUCCAGACUCCUACGGGAGGCAGCAGUAGGGAAUAUUGCUCAAUGGGGGAAACCCUGAAGCAGCAACGCCGCGUGGAGGAUGACACUUUUCGGAGCGUAAACUCCUUUUCUUGGGAAAGAAUUAUGACGGUACCCAAGGAAUAAGCACCGGCUAACUCCGUG
rnacentral:rRNA from 1 species